rnacentral:rRNA from 1 species
UACGUAGGGUGCAAGCGUUGUCCGGAAUUAUUGGGCGUAAAGAGCUCGUAGGCGGUCUGUCGCGUCGGCUGUGAAAACCCGGAGCUCAACUCCGGGCCUGCAGUCGAUACGGGCAGACUGGAGUUCGGCAGGGGAGACUGGAAUUCCUGGUGUAGCGGUGAAAUGCGUAGAUAUCAGGAGGAACACCGAUGGCGAAGGCAGGUCUCUGGGCUGACACUGACGCUCAUGCACGAAAGCGUGGGGAGCAAACAGG